ensembl:lncRNA
GACAUGUUUCUAAGUUGUUCCAUAAGUAGGACAUUUGCAGGCAGAUAGAAACAAGGGGCAAACAGUGGCUCAGUACAGGGACUGAGUUAAGUCAGGGGUGUUUUCUGAAGAUGGGGAGGGACCCAGGCACAGGUGGCCACCCGGGCAAGUUUCAGUGAGGAAGGAGGCUGACAGUGGACGUCUCUGAGCCCCCUCACCAGGGGCUGUGCCCAAGGGCUCAGUCUGGUCUCUGCGCCCCCACCUCUGGGAGCCUCGUUGCCCCUCCUCCUCUCCCCGGGCGUAUGAUGCUGUGAUGCGUGUUCUCAGGAAGUAGCCAGCGCUCUGGGCCCAGACCCAUCCUUCCAAGGGAGCGCCAGGGUCCAUCUGGUCCAGUGUGGCCCCCACGGCAUCUUCGGCCUUGUCAUCUCCAGCAUGGCCAUGCUUGGCUCCCUCCUUGGACCACCUGUGUCCAGCUCCCGGCUGCAAAGGCGUCGCUGGACUGCAGGCCCGGCAUACCCUGUCCCCCAGGCCCCCAGCAUCCCUCCCCACAUUCCAAACCCAGUGAUCUGCUUGAUAGAAGAGGACGUGAUUCUUUUCCAGCUUCAGAUUCACCCUGACAGUGAGUCUGCCCCUCGGCCCCGCCCUCCCGCUCUGGCUCCCUCAUCCCUCCCUAUCCGUCUGCCUGGUGACAUCACGUACAGACCGUGCCUUCGAAGUCGUGGGGCACAGGCUGGUGCUGUCCCCUGCUCUCGGCCUGUUCGGUCACUUCCCUGGGGGCCUUCAUUCCAUAUCUUGAGCAGAUGUUUCAGCUCCAGCAUUCUGAGACUCCUCCUGCAGCCCGUGGAGGUGUCAGACUUCUGUGCCUUGGGGGGAAUGGAUUUUGAGGAGAAAAAACAUGGGGCAGAGAGGUAUGGAAUAGAAAAUAAAUAUAAAUGUAACCUGUGUGGCUGUCUUAUAACCAUGGCAGAUUAGUACAGAGAAUGCCCUGUACGGAACAACACACUGAAGGCUCCAGAUCGAGGUCCUCCCUUUGGGGAGGCUGAGGCUUCAGUCUCUGGCAUUUGGAAUGUAGGCAGCAUCCUUGCUUUUGGCCAGAUCGCCGGGUGUGUGGCACAGCCUGUGCUUUUCAGAUUUACACAGAAUGGCCACUUGGCCCAGGUAGAAGUCAAUGAAGUGUUUCGUUCCACGUGUCACGUAACCACUGAUGUACCUCCCCGAGACGCGUGCCAAGGCAAUGAGUGUCAAAGAGGGGAACACUCCCUGGAAAGUGAGCUCCACACUGGACAUGUGUGCCCUGGUUUCUAGGCCCAGCUCUUCCACAAACCGCUGGGAACUGGGGUAACCUCCACCCUCUCUUCACCUUGAUAUUUACCUCUGCCAGUGAACCCAUUUGCGUUCCCCCUUCUCCCCACUGUGAGGGAGGUAAGAUCAGAGCCCCAUCAUGAGGGGCUGGGGGGCUCAGGAAGAAGAACUAACACCUGCACACAGGUAAGGCCUCCUUGUGCAGUGGGAACAACCAGGUGGCGCCUGCCUGUAUGGCAGCCCCAUCCACCUCCUUAGCUGCUCAUUCUCUCAGCCAUCCCAUAGCAUUUAUUGAAUACCUGCUGCAUGUCCAUACUGUGCUGCCUUCCAGGGGUGCACAGUUGAACACGUCCCUGUUCUGAGAGUCCCAGGGCAUCAGGCUGGCCUCACCCACAGAGGGGCGUCAGGCCUGGUGCCCCCUGCUCAGAGUGUGCCCUCUCUGUGGGCAGAGGGAAGAAGAGUCUUGCCUGGCAGCAUGAUUACUAAGGGCACGUUACAUACAUGAGAGGGGAACUGUGUCUCAGCCACUCACUCUUGUGAGCACAGGAUGCUGAGCUCCCCAGAUGUGGGCUGCCCCAGGCUGGGGCUGGGGAGGCCUCUGGGACCCAGCCCAGCCCCGGCUCGCUCCCCAGAUCGCCCAGCCAGUCACUACCCCGUGUACCAGAAGCAGCACCUGUUCAACAGCAACCCCCACUGGGACUUCGGGGCCUUCAGGAGGCUCAGCCACCUAGUGCGAGAGACUCAAGUCAACUUCUCCAGGUUUGUCCACCAGUUCUUAGAUCCGGGCACAUACGUGUUUCGAGACAACGCACUUCCCGAGAGCGUUGUGGUGGUGUCGGUGAAGGAGAAGGGGAUAGCCUGCGGCCCUGGCCUGUCCUCUGUGCAGCCCUCCUCCCCGUACCAGCUCUCCAGGCAUGGCAUCGUCAGGCACAGGCUGCCAACCCUGGGCCCAGACUGGGCCGUGAUCACAGGUACUGACCCCAGACCAGAGUAGCCAGGACCUGGGGUUGGUGCCAGGAGUGUGGCACAGCAGAACCCCCAGCCCCAUCUGUGACUCUGGGUACAGCCCCAAAGACUUCAGGUGUGCACAAGGACAAGCUUGCCCUUGAACUGGGGCUUCAUUUGCCAGACAAAGAAAACUGAAUUUCCUCCACUAGGGUCUCCUUUCUCACCCUCCCUUCUCCUCUACCUCAGUCCUGGGAGCUUCCCUGGGGAGCGAGUCCCUGCGCGGUGAGUGAGUUGCACGGUAGAGUACCAGGAUCGCAGGGGUGCCUCCUGUAACCUCCUCUCUGGGUUUUCUCAUCUUGUUUCCUUCUUGUCUUCAUGAGUCAGCAGUCUGCACUGAGCCCUCCGGCUGAGCCCAGAGCAUGGGGCAUUCAUGGCCCCCACCCAGGUGGGACAGAGAACACUGCCCUGCAGGGGCCAGGUGCUAAGCCACCUGGGCACAGGGCAGCCAGCAAGCCACAUGAAGCACAGGGCAGUGCUGGGACCUGCCGGGAAGGCCAGCAGCAAUGUCCUGGGAGGGGUCUUACAUGGUGGGGUGUGGGGAGAGGAGCAUUCCCAGGAGGACACCUGACAUCACAAAGCCCCAGAGGCAGGAAUGAGGUUGAUCUACAGGGAGCUAUGAGGAGUUAAAGCCUGAAGGCAGCAAGACAGAGAGACCAGGGCCAAGGGGCAAAUGCAAAACGCUGCUCUCCGGGCCAGCGCAGCCUGGGGAGGUUCUGAGUGGUCAUCAUGUGGCCCUUCCGCUCUCCCCGCAACUUUCAGGGGUGCUGCUGGCUGUCGGCUUGGCAACUGCGCUGCUGACAGGCCUGGGCCUUGUGCUGAGCCCCCCGCUGGCCCAGACCUGCCCAGUCAGAGCUUGGAGACUCCGGGGGAGGGGCCUCAGGGAGCCUCACGUGCCUGCUGACUGCGUGCCUCUCGGGGACAGCCUUACCGUCCGUGAAGACCUCGGUCCUCAGGGCUCUGGGGAAGGAGCCAGCUGCAGGCAGAGAGCCGUUCCCCGGGACACAGGGGAGCCACACCCUGUGAACACCCUAGAGGACUUCAGCGUCCGCACACUCUAUGACAAGCUUGAGGACCAGAGCCUGCACUUGGUGGCCCAGCUGAGCAAGCACAGGAGCGACGCACUGGCCUUCUACAGGGGCGCCAGCCAGCAACUCCAGGGGCUCAAGGACUUUCUGCAGGGCGUCAGCAUGACCGAGCGGCAAGAUCUGGGCAGAGGUGGAGACCUGGAGAUGGGAGCCAAAGCCACUGCCAGGACAGACACUGGGCAGAGAGAGGAAUGGUGCAGUGGUCACACUGCAGCUUCUCCAAGGGUGCGCUGGCAGCAUCCUCUAGCCCCCAGAAGACCCCAGGACCUGGACGGCUCCGUCAGGGUGAUGCCAAAGGAGGGGACACUGAGAGCCCAGUUUCCGGACACAGGCACGGAGCCUUUCCUGAGCUGCAGAGAAAGAUAUGGCAGGUGGAAGACAUCUUGGACGAACUGAAUAAAGAGUUCUUCCAGCUCACUGCUCAAGCCCUAGAGCUCCAGAAAGAAGAGCACCAGCCAGACCACCUGCCCCCAAGGAAACACAGUACAUUUGCGGUGGUUCCCAGCAUCUUCCCUCAUGCAGAGCAGGAAGACAGACCUAACCCAGCAGAGGCAGGCGGCCCAGACAGAAAGAGUGUGGGAACCUGGGCCCUGAAGAGCGAGCAGGCCCUGAUCCUGGCGGUGAGGAGAGCCUGCCUGGCUCAGAGGAUCGAAGGCCUGGACUGGGAGCUGUCCCUGCUCCUCCAGGUGGCAGAGGGCAGCACGUGUGCAGGAUGGAGCCAGCCCAGCCUGGGGAGACGCUGAGUCACCCAGGGUGCUGCGGCGGUCAUCUGUGGCAGUGCCUUCUCCACAAAGAACAUGGCCAGGUUACUCUGCGCACUCCAGGCAGGAAGACGUGGGCGUCGCAGGGGCCGCCCUGGCUGGGAAUGUGAGCUCGGUUAUGGCAUGCUCCUAUCUGGUAACACCCAGGUUUCUUUCAGAGCCUGGACCUCGGCUUGUGCUGAUUGCUAUCUGUGAUCCUUUGGGGUGAGGGAAAAUAAAGUCACACAGGUUGAGAAUAUCAA